AUGGGGCGCGGGAAGGUGCAGCUGAAGCGGAUCGAGAACAAGAUCAACCGGCAGGUGACCUUCUCCAAGCGCCGCUCGGGGCUGCUCAAGAAGGCGCACGAGAUCUCCGUGCUCUGCGACGCCGAGGUCGGCCUCAUCAUCUUCUCCACCAAGGGAAAGCUCUACGAGUUCUCCACCGAGUCAUGUAUGGACAAAAUUCUUGAACGGUAUGAGCGCUACUCUUAUGCAGAAAAGGUUCUCGUUUCAAGUGAAUCUGAAAUUCAGGGAAACUGGUGUCACGAAUAUAGGAAACUGAAGGCGAAGGUUGAGACAAUACAGAAAUGUCAAAAGCAUCUGAUGGGAGAGGAUCUUGAAUCUUUGAAUCUCAAGGAGUUGCAGCAACUGGAGCAGCAGCUGGAAAGCUCACUGAAACAUAUCAGAUCCAGGAAGAACCAACUUAUGCACGAAUCCAUUUCUGAGCUUCAGAAGAAGGUAAGCUGCCAACCUUGCAUACCUGAACCGGAGAGGUCACUGCAGGAGGAGAAUAAAGUUCUCCAGAAGGAACUCGUCGAGAAGCAGAAGGCCCAGGCGGCGCAACAAGAUCAGACUCAGCCUCAAACAAGCUCUUCUUCUUCUUCCUUCAUGAUGAGGGAUGCUCCCCCUGCCGCAGCUACCAGCAUUCAUCCAGCGGCGGCAGGCGAGAGGGCAGGGGAUGCGGCAGUGCAGCCGCAGGCCCCACCCCGGACGGGGCUUCCACUGUGGAUGGUGAGCCACAUCAACGGCUGA
rnacentral:rRNA from 1 species